rnacentral:tRNA from 1 species
GCGAGAGUGGCGGAAUUGGCAGACGCACUGGAUUUAGGAUCCAGCCCGCUACGCGGUUGGGGGUUCGAGUCCCCCCUCUCGCACCA